UACGUAGGGUGCAAGCGUUGUCCGGAAUUAUUGGGCGUAAAGAGCUCGUAGGCGGUCUGUCGCGUCGAUCGUGAAAACUUGGGGCUUAACCCUGAGCUUGCGGUCGAUACGGGCAUGACUGGAGUUCGGCAGGGGAGACUGGAAUUCCUGGUGUAGCGGUGAAAUGCGCAGAUAUCAGGAGGAACACCGGUGGCGAAGGCGGGACUCUGGGCCGAUACUGACGCUGAGGAGCGAAAGCAUGGGGGAGCGAACAGG
rnacentral:rRNA from 1 species